AACAUUUCACAACACGAGCUGACGACAGCCAUGCAGCACCUGUCUCACGGUUCCCGAAGGCACUAAGGCAUCUCUGCCGAAUUCCGUGGAUGUCAAGGCCAGGUAAGGUUCUUCGCGUUGCAUCGAAUUAAACCACAUGCUCCACCGCUUGUGCGGGCCCCCGUCAAUUCAUUUGAGUUUUAACCUUGCGGCCGUACUCCCCAGGCGGUCAACUUAAUGCGUUAGCUGCGCCACUAAGAGCUCAAGGCUCCCAACGGCUAGUUGACAUCGUUUACGGCGUGGACUACCAGGGUAUCUAAUCCUGUUUGCUCCCCACGCUUUCGCACCUCAGUGUCAGUAUCAGUCCAGGUGGUCGCCUUCGCCACUGGUGUUCCUUCCUAUAUCUACGCAUUUCACCGCUACACAGGAAAUUCCACCACCCUCUACCAUACUCUAGCUCGACAGUUUUGAAUGCAGUUCCCAGGUGAGCCCGGGGAUUUCACAUCCAACUUAACGAACCACCUACGCGCGCUUUACGCCCAGUAAUUCCGAUUAACGCUUGCACCCUCUGUAUUACCGCGGCUGCUGGCACAGAGUUAGCCGGUGCUUAUUCUGUCGGUAACGUCAAAAUUGCAGAGUAUUAAUCUACAACCCUUCCUCCCAACUUAAAGUGCUUUACAAUCCGAAGACCUUCUUCACACACGCGGCAUGGCUGGAUCAGGCUUUCGCCCAUUGUCCAAUAUUCCCCACUGCUGCCUCCCGUAGGAGUCUGGACCGUGUCUCAGUUCCAGUGUGACUGAUCAUCCUCUCAGACCAGUUACGGAUCGUCGCCUUGGUGAGCCAUUACCUCACCAACUAGCUAAUCCGACCUAGGCUCAUCUGAUAGCGCAAGGCCCGAAGGUCCCCUGCUUUCUCCCGUAGGACGUAUGCGGUAUUAGCGUUCCUUUCGAAACGUUGUCCCCCACUACCAGGCAGAUUCCUAGGCAUUACUCACCCGUCCGCCGCUGAAUUCAGGAGCAAGCUCCUGUCAUCCGC
rnacentral:rRNA from 1 species